GACAGAGGGUGCAAACGUUGUUCGGAAUUACUGGGCGUAAAGCGCGUGUAGGCGGCCUCGCAAGUCGGGUGUGAAAGCCCUGGGCUCAACCCGGGAAGUGCACUCGAUACUGGCAGGCUUGAAUCCGGGAGAGGGAUGCGGAAUUCCAGGUGUAGCGGUGAAAUGCGUAGAUAUCUGGAGGAACACCGGUGGCGAAGGCGGCCUUCUGGACAGCCACUGACGCUGAGACGCGAAAGCGUGGGGAGCAAACAGG
rnacentral:rRNA from 1 species